rnacentral:rRNA from 1 species
UACGGGGGGGGCAAGCGUUGUUCGGAAUUACUGGGCGUAAAGGGCUUGUAGGCGGCCAACUAAGUCAGACGUGAAAUCCCUCGGCUUAACCGGGGAACUGCGUCUGAUACUGGAUGGCUGGAGUGUGGGAGAGGGAUGCGGAAUUCCAGGUGUAGCGGUGAAAUGCGUAGAUAUCUGGAGGAACACCGGUGGCGAAGGCGGCAUCCUGGACCAUUACUGACACUGAAAAGCGAAAGCCAGGGGAGCAAACGGG